ACGCGCCGGCGGGCGUCUCGCUGGGCGCCGUGGCGCUGCCGUUGCGGCGGCAGCACUGGCUCGCCGUGCGCCAGCUCCGCGGCACCUACUACAACCUCGACUCCAAGCUCCCGGCGCCCGCCCGCAUCGGCGGCGAGGCCGAGCUCAGGGUUUUCCUCCGCGACUUCCUCUCCCGAGGCCUCUGCGAGCUCUUCAUCGUCGUGCCGAAGGCGGUGGAAGAAGCCGGCACCUGGCUGGAGCCCGAGUGACUCGGGAUUUCACCUGCGAAACCAAAGACAGGCGGAAAAGACAGCGCGACCCCCCAAACYGGGGGGAUCGGCACCGAAAUGGGAUGCCCCCCCACCCCGCACACCCUUCAAUUCGACGCUUCUCCCGAUGGGGAUAAAGGACACGGUGCAAAAGCRGCCGUGUUUUGUGCUUGUUGGCGCCGCGGAGGGACCCGGCUGGCCCGGGAGCUGUUGUCACCCGUCUCCCCACGCCUGUGUCACCCGUCGGCAGCUCCUAAUCUGCCUGUUUUUGCCUUUUUUGAGGGGCUUGGUUUUCCGGUGUGGGAUUUCCCUGCCUAAAUUUGGAGCUGGCCGCGGGGUGCCGAUGGUGUCGGGGUGUUUUUGAUACGUUACAACGGGCUGCUGGUUGUGYGUGCCGGUUGUGCGUGCCAGUUACGCCCUCCAUGCCGCCUGUGUGCCCUCCAUGCCGCCUGUGCGCCCCAGCUACGCAUGGUACCCGCUUCUCACACACGGCGCAACACCCGCUACACCCACCGCUCGCUCACCUUUCCCCUCGUCACCUCUCCGGCCACUUGGCCCGUUGUUUCCAGCCAUCUCCGGUGCCUCCACGGAGGAAGCAGGUGUAUUUUAAAAGCCAAAAUAUCGGGGAUUUAUAUCGCUAACAACCAUUAUGGGAAACACCAUUAAGGCAGGUUUCCUCAAUGCUGCGACUGUUGGCAGCUCCAGCGACUGUUGGCAGCUCCGUUGGGUGGUAGGUGGCUCCGAAAACAGCCAUUGGGUGACGAUYGCGGCCGGGUAACGGGCCAAAGCACUGUGCUGGGUGAUUUUUCCAAGCGCUGCCGGAUUAAUCCGAAACGCAAGUUAAAUAAAACAGGGAUAAAUGGUUUAAACA
rnacentral:lncRNA from 1 species